GUCUGCUGUACCAGCCUAGUAAGUGCUUAUAAAAUCCAAUGUAGCUGAAUAUUUUAAAGACCCUCUGGGCUUAGGUGUCUAGAUACAAAUUAGCCACCUGAACAUGGGUCAGGGCCAGUGCUUAGAUUGAAGUACACCGUAAACCAAUAGGCUUUAGUGAAUAAACUAAAGGGAACUGUGAGAAAGAGACAGAGACAGAGACAGAGACAGAGGAGGAGGGAGAGGGAGAGGGGAUAGGUGACAGAAGACGGAUAGAUCAAUCAAUCGAUAGAUCAAUAAAUGGAUCGGUCUAUCUUUUGGUAACAGGUACAAGUUGGCCGGGAGUAGGUUUAUGUAACCUAAGCACUAAGAGAGAAGUGAACCAGGCGUGUGGUGCGCAUCUUUAAUCCCACCGCUACUGGGGCAAAGGGCGGCUAAGGUGAUGCUGUGAGACCAUAUCUCAAAAUUAAACUAUCCACCCAGAGUUUCUCACGUACUAGCUGAGAGCUCUAACACUGAGCUAUACCCUCGCUCAAUUGUGUAUGUAUUUUAACAACAGGAAUGUUGAUAACACAUUUAACACUUCUGCCUUGAAUCUGCCCGUUCAAACAUGUAAGUAACAGAGCAAGUUAUGUUUAUUGGAAAAGCUAAGGUUGACAGGGAUAAUUUUUAAAAGAUAGGAUCUUUUCGUUCUUUGAGACUGUCACACAUGCACACAAUGUACUUUGGUCCUGUUCACUCCUCUCCUCCCACCAACUCUACCAGAUCCACCCCAUCUCCCCACACUUCCAGCUUCAGGUUUUGUUUUUAGCAAUCCACUGUUUACAAUUUUCUGUUCACAUCUUCCUGGGUGUGGGGCUGUGCACUGGAGCAUGGGUGACCUACCAGUAGCCACACCUGCAGAGAAAACUGACUCAGCCAGGGAUGGGGGUUCACAAGUCUCCCCAUUCCCAUGCAGAAAUGCUUUGUGCAGGUGACCCCAGCUACCGUGAGUUUGUGAGUAUAGGGUCCCGUUGUGUUCAGAAAAUAUUUCUCUGAUCCUUCCUGACUUACAACAGGGGAAUAGUUGAAUGAAUAUAAUUUCAGUAUGUAAUUCAAUAACAGAUCCAAGGUGACUGGGAGUCAUUUUAUAUAAAACAGUGAGUGGUGUAGUGCACUUGCACGUUCAUAUUAUUGUGCAUUAUAAAUGCUUCCUGCCACUGAUCCCAGCACUCUGGGGGCCGAGCAGGAAAUGGCCGGGCAUUCCAGACUAGGCUGGCUACAGAGUGAUCUCCUGGGCACCCCCACAUCCCUUCAAGUCAUUCCAUGUCCAAACAAGUCUGCCUCUGGCUUUAUAAAUUCUUAUUUAUAUAUUCUUCUUAUUUAAUAGGAAUUCUAUUUGCCAUUUCCCAGUUGUUGGACCUUGUAGAUGGCCUCUUUGACUAUGCUAUCGGGUAUUGCCCUUGAGCUAGGUUACAGGUAGGUGUGGGAAGGUUUGCACCUUUCCUCGUCCUUUUGAGACGGUGUCUUACUGUUGGCUGCAGCUCUCCUGGAUGCAGAUUAUAGCCCGUACCACCAUCUCUAGCUACUUUAUGCAUUUUGCCAAAAUUUCAAAGUCUGUACCAGUUUGUAUUUCCACGAACUGCAGGUGUUCAUUUCCAUAUUUUCUUAGGCCAAAAGUAUUAUUUUUAAUUUUAAUAUAAUUAAUUUUCAGCUGUGUAUACUAUACUGCUUUUUUGUUUGUGUUUUGAAUAGCUUCUUAGAGAUAGAGAUGGAGUGCUAAGCAGCCCUCCUAGCUUCUAGACAGAUGACUUUCUGCUGCUCUGCUGCUGCCCCCCAGUGGUUGGUCUCGGUGUGCUGAACUUCACAACUUCGUUCCUUUCAUUUUGGAACCUCCUAGUUAGUACCUGUGUCUUUUUUUCAUUGGUCAUACCUUAUGAUGAUAAAUUAUUAUUAAUAAUGAUUAGCAUAGGGGCUGGAGAGAUGGCUCAGCGGUUAAGAGCACUG
rnacentral:lncRNA from 1 species